AAGGGAGACCUAAUUCAGGUAGGAGACGAAAAAAAAGUAGUCCCUACCAAGAAUCAAUCCCAAAAGGUCGGAGCGAGGCAAAAUUGGCUUUCAAACUAGGUUCUGGGUUCACACAAGACCUGAAUCAGGAACAAGGGCUAUUAGCUCAGGCGGUUAGAGCGCACCCCUGAUAAGGGUGAGGUCCCUGGUUCGAGUCCAGGAUGGCCCACCUGUACAGGUGGCAAAAACAAAGAAAAGAAGCGAGGAAUCAGCACCUUAUCUUACUUAUAUAGUAAGAGAGAAUGCUGGCUCUGAGUAAAGAGUCCAGAGGAACCUUGAAAACUGCAUAGAGCUAGGUGAAAAAGCCAAAAAAGAAGACCGCAA
rnacentral:tRNA from 1 species